rnacentral:lncRNA from 1 species
AUUAAGUCUCCCUAAUCAAUGUCAACUUAUCAACCUUCAACUCAUUGAUCAAAAGGAAAGGAGAAGAAGAAGAUGAAGAAGAAGAUGAAGAAAGGAUAAGGAAAUGGAAAGAUCAAAAUGCAUAAGAUGAAAUAAUAUGUACCAAUCCAUAUGUAUUGACCAAAUGACAUUGAAAGUCAAAGUCAAACAAUGAUAUAUCAGAAAUGAGAUGAAGAUUGGAGAUCAAACAAU